CCUACGGGUGGCAGCAGUAGGGAAUCUUCCACAAUGGGCGCAAGCCUGAUGGAGCAACGCCGCGUGAGUGAAGAAGGUCUUCGGAUCGUAAAACCCUGUUGUUAGAGAAGAAAGUGCUUGAGAGUAACUGUUCACGUGUCGACGGUAUCUAACCGGAAAGCCCCGGCUACAUACGUGCCAGCAGCCCCGGUAAUACGUAGGUGGCAAGUGUUGUCCGGAUUUAUUGGGAGUAAAGGGAAGGCAGGCGGUUGUUUAAGUCUGAUGUGAAAGCCCUCGGCUUAACCGGAGUACUGCAUUGGAAACUGGGAGACUUGAGUGCAGAAGAGGAGAGUGGAAUUCCAUGUGUAGCGGUGAAAUGCGUAGAUAUAUGGAAGAACACCAGUGGCGAAAGCGGCUUUCUGGUCUGUAACUGACGCUGAGGUUCGAAAGCGUGGGUAGCAAACAGGAUUAGAUACCCUUGUAGUC
rnacentral:rRNA from 1 species